rnacentral:rRNA from 1 species
UACGUAGGGGGCAAGCGUUAUCCGGAUUUACUGGGUGUAAAGGGGGCGCAGACGGCGAUGCAAGCCAGGAGUGAAAGCCCGGGGCCCAACCCCGGGACUGCUCUUGGAACUGCGUGGCUGGAGUGCAGGAGGGGCAGGCGGAAUUCCUGGUGUAGCGGUGAAAUGCAUAGAUAUCACGCAGAACCCCGAUUGCGAAGGCAGCAUGCCGGCUUCCUACUGACGCUGAAGCACGAAAGCGUGGGGAUCGAACAGG